UCCUGCCUGGUCAGUUGGUGGCCGUUAUCUCCACUCUGGCGGAGGCAGUCACUCUCCUGGACUCCUCCUUCCCAAAUCUCUUUCUCAAAAGAGCUUUGGGUGUGAAGAUCUAUUUUUCUCCACCCGGUCCCACCUCCACUUGUAGCGGCAAAGUGUUCAGAGAUGAAAUGUUUUUCUGACCCCCAAGCAUUAAAGGCUAAGGGACUCUGUCAAACAGACUAAGAAAGGGUAGAGGUGCUGGACUCUCUUACCUUUUUCUUUUUGGUCAAACUUCCAAACACACAAGGUAACAAAGAUCAGCAAGCUACUACAUAAGUAAGUAUGACCAGGGGUCGGAUCCAUCGCCUCCAGUUGCUCAGAUUACACACGCUGGGCAUUUUCAUAAACAAAUUAGCUUACGAAAGCCAAGAAAACAAACCAAACCGAGAUUUUGGCACUUUCUCUUCUUUGAUUGUUUUCUCUUCUGGCUCUCUACAGAGAAAAAUGACCAGCUGCUGGCGCUGCGUCCUCGGGUCGCGCUGUGGUUGAGGCUCCUCGCAGCUUGGCCUCAGAAAGUGCAUCCUGUGAAGUAUCUGUGUCUUCUAAGUCUUGAUGUUGGCCUGUAUCAGGAGGUUCCUGUUCUUCUGGGAUAUCAGUGACAAUGUCUUCACAUGACUUGGAUGCAGCGGCUGCAUUCUGUAAAGUAAUCGAGUGUCCAAAGGCCUGAUGCCCCGGCCAGCGGGGUGUCAACGGGGGCGACCCACCUGCGGGAGAGAAUGAGAGGGACGGGUGAGACACGAAAGGACGACAGCAAGACAGUGUGUUCUGAUCAAGCUGCAAAUUUUAUUCUCCUCAGCAAGGGUUAUAUAGCAGGAGAGGGGGCAGGAAGGAGGGAAGGGGUGCAUGACGUGCCAUACGCGCAGGUGAAGGGGGACGUGCAGGUGAAGGGCUACGUGCAAGAAGUCGUGAGGCUGCAGGUGGUAAGGUCACUGGUCAGGGCUCAUUUUUUUGUUGCUAUGCCCUCUCAUUGUUUUCCCUUUAAGACAAUAUAAAUUUAUUAGCCAAAAGUUAA